rnacentral:rRNA from 1 species
GACGAACGCUGGCGGCGUGCCUAAUACAUGCAAGUCGAGCGAUGAAGAUUGGUGCUUGCACCAAUUUGAAGAGCAGCGAACGGGUGAGUAACGCGUGGGGAAUCUGCCUUUGAGCGGGGGACAACAUUUGGAAACGAAUGCUAAUACCGCAUAACAACUUUAAACAUAAGUUUUAAGUUUGAAAGAUGCAAUUGCAUCACUCAAAGAUGAUCCCGCGUUGUAUUAGCUAGUUGGUGAGGUAAAGGCUCACCAAGGCGAUGAUACAUAGCCGACCUGAGAGGGUGAUCGGCCACAUUGGGACUGAGACACGGCCCAAACUCCUACGGGAGGCAGCAGUAGGGAAUCUUCGGCAAUGGACGAAAGUCUGACCGAGCAACGCCGCGUGAGUGAAGAAGGUUUUCGGAUCGUAAAACUCUGUUGGUAGAGAAGAACGUUGGUGAGAGUGGAAAGCUCAUCAAGUGACGGUAACUACCCAGAAAGGGACGGCUAACUACGUG